ACCUGCCUGUAAGACUGGGAUAACUCCGGGAAACCGGGGCUAAUACCGGAUGGUUGUUUGAACCGCAUGGUUCAAACAUAAAAGGUGGCUUCGGCUACCACUUACAGAUGGACCCGCGGCGCAUUAGCUAGUUGGUGAGGUAACGGCUCACCAAGGCAACGAUGCGUAGCCGACCUGAGAGGGUGAUCGGCCACACUGGGACUGAGACACGGCCCAGACUCCUACGGGAGGCAGCAGUAGGGAAUCUUCCGCAAUGGACGAAAGUCUGACGGAGCAACGCCGCGUGAGUGAUGAAGGUUUUCGGAUCGUAAAGCUCUGUUGUUAGGGAAGAACAAGUACCGUUCGAAUAGGGCGGUACCUUGACGGUACCUAACCAGAAAGCCACGGCUAACUACGUGCCAGCAGCCGCGGUAAUACGUAGGUGGCAAGCGUUGUCCGGAAUUAUUGGGCGUAAAGGGCUCGCAGGCGGUUUCUUAAGUCUGAUGUGAAAGCCCCCGGCUCAACCGGGGAGGGUCAUUGGAAACUGGGGAACUUGAGUGCAGAAGAGGAGAGUGGAAUUCCACGUGUAGCGGUGAAAUGCGUAGAGAUGUGGAGGAACACCAGUGGCGAAGGCGACUCUCUGGUCUGUAACUGACGCUGAGGAGCGAAAGCGUGGGGAGCGAACAGGAUUAGAUACCCUGGUAGUCCACGCCGUAAACGAUGAGUGCUAAGUGUUAGGGGGUUUCCGCCCCUUAGUGCUGCAGCUAACGCAUUAAGCACUCCGCCUGGGGAGUACGGUCGCAAGACUGAAACUCAAAGGAAUUGACGGGGGCCCG
rnacentral:rRNA from 2 species